AUUUAUUUCCCUUUGCCUAAGGAACGGGCUGUGCUGCGGCUCCCAUUGCCUAGGGAAAAAGCCCGGAUGUGAACUUUUGGCAGGGAUGCUGGAUGGCUGCAAGUAAGAGGGGAGAUAGCCUGUGAAGCUGUGCUUGAAGGAGGAAGCCGGAAGGCCAUUUCAGGCAAGACAAGCUCCAGGAUGUGAGCAGUCGUAAGGGGACAUUGCUUAUGACUCUUGAGUGGCUGGCCAGGCUGACUAAGCACACUUCUGGAUCCCAUCUAGUGUUUAGAAUCCCAAUGAGCUAGACGCUGCGUGUCCAGAUGUGAACAGUUACUCAUUUUUAAGCCACCAGUAUGAACUAUCUUAGGAUCAAUCACAGCUCCAU